rnacentral:rRNA from 1 species
GAUGAACGCUGGCGGCGUGCCUAAUACAUGCAAGUCGAGCGAACAGACGAGGAGCUUGCUCCUCUUACGUUAGCGGCGGACGGGUGAGUAACACGUGGAUAACCUACCUAUAAGACUGGGAUAACUUCGGGAAACCGGAGCUAAUACCGGAUAACAUGUUGAACCGCAUGGUUCAACAGUGAAAGACGGUCUUGCUGUCACUUAUAGAUGGAUCCGCGCCGCAUUAGCUAGUUGGUAAGGUAACGGCUUACCAAGGCAACGAUGCGUAGCCGACCUGAGAGGGUGAUCGGCCACACUGGAACUGAGACACGGUCCAGACUCCUACGGGAGGCAGCAGUAGGGAAUCUUCAGAAAUGGGCGAAAGCCUGACGGAGAAACGACGCGUGAGUGAAGAAGGUCUUCGGAUCGUAAAACUCUGUUAUUAGGGAAGAACAAAUGUGUAAGUAACUAGGCACGUCUUGACGGUACCUAAUCAGAAAGCCACGGCUAACUACGUG